AUAACUUAUCAAAAUAAGCCACCUUAAACAAAUGAUUAUCAACAUUUUGAGCAAUAAUGCGUCAUGAAUAAUACAAUAUUGGAGGCAAAAAAGGUCAAAUUUACAUGUAAAUGGUCAAAUUUAAACCUUAUCAUCGUUAUCACUUGAUUCCAAUGGUGAAAUUCUUGUUGCCCUUCUUCUACAUAGAGAAAUCAUGAAAACCCACAUGAGACCUUUAACAACCCUAACCAUCCCAAUUGUAACAAUAAGAUAAUACAACCACCACCCAACAAAGUCACAUAUUUCAACAUCUAUCAAUUGCUCCUUUUUAACUUCAGCCAUAACCACCAAUGUUUCCACCUCCUCCUUCAACCUCCACCACCAUAAUGUUCCUAAACUUGCAGCAAUAGCCACCUUCUCAACCCAUCUUUCUUUUC